rnacentral:piRNA from 1 species
UUUGAAGUACUUGGAACUAUAUUCAGG